rnacentral:rRNA from 1 species
GAUUAGUAGAGUGGCAAACGGGUGAGUAACACGUGGGUGACCUGCCUUCGAGUGGGGGAUAACGUCCCGAAAGGGACGCUAAUACCGCAUGACAUCCUGCUUUUUAACAGGCGGAGAUCAAAGCCGGGGAUCGCAAGACCUGGCGCUUGGAGAGGGGCCCGCGUCCGAUUAGCUAGUUGGUGAGGUAACGGCUCACCAAGGCGACGAUCGGUAUCCGGCCUGAGAGGGCGGACGGACACACUGGGACUGAGACACGGCCCAGACUCCUACGGGAGGCAGCAGUGGGGAAUUGUUCGCAAUGGGCGCAAGCCUGACGACGCAACGCCGCGUGGAGGAUGAAGAUCUUCGGGUCGUAAACUCCUUUCGAUCGAGACGAACGGCUUCCGGGUGAACAAUCCGGAAGAGUGACGGUACCGAGAGAAGAAGCCCCGGCUAACUCCGUGCCAGCAGCCGCGGUAAUACGGGGGGGGCAAGCGUUGUUCGGAAUUACUGGGCGUAAAGGGCUCGUA